AAGCUUUUGGCCCAGAUUAUACCUGACAUUCCCGUAUAAGACGAGCAAAAAGCUUGU
rnacentral:pre_miRNA from 1 species